UACGGGGGGGGCAAGCGUUGUUCGGAAUUACUGGGCGUAAAGGGCUCGUAGGCGGCCAACUAAGUCAGACGUGAAAUCCCCAGGCUCAACCUGGGAACUGCGUCUGAUACUGGAUGGCUUGAAUCCGGGAGAGGGAUGCAGAAUUCCAGGUGUAGCGGUGAAAUGCGUAGAUAUUGGGAAGAACACCUGAGGCGAAGGCGGGUUGCUGGGCCGACACUGACGCUGAGGCGCGAAAGCCAGGGGAGCAAACGGG
rnacentral:rRNA from 1 species